UAGCUCAAUUGGUAGAGCACCGGUCUCCAAAACCGGGGGUUGGGGGUUCGAGUCCCU
rnacentral:tRNA from 1 species